CUCCGGGCAGGUCGCAGGCGCGUGCGCACAUCGCAAUGCGAAGGAAGGGUCACGAGGCGCCUCGGGGAGGCUGCGACCUUAGCCGGCGGUGGGCGGGGCCCUGCCCGUGACGUCGCGGGGAGCUACCCUCCCCUCCCCCAGCACAGCUCUAAUGGCCGUUGCCGCCCGCUGGAUCUGGGGGUUUCAACUUCUGGCACCUUCGAAAGAUGAGGAGAUCACCAUGAGUGCGGAUGUGACCACCAUCUUCUUUCUGUCCUUGACAAAGAGAAUGAAGAGCUCUUAGAAGAAAAAGUCUAGUGUAAUAAUGUCCAGUGGUCAAAAGGCAGAACGUCACAAAAGUGGGUUUUUGGACAGAGUACAGAAAGCUGUUCAGCUGUACUCCAAAGAGCUUAACAUCUCUUCUGAAUGGUGCUACAGACUGAGUGGGUGUUUACACUUAUUUUGAAAUCUUUCCUCCAGGAGGAAAGGAAAAUACAAUGGAUAAUGACUAACUGGAAGCAUGGCUCUGUUUGAGUCGUAUGUUCAGUGUGAGUAUGAUCCUGGCAGUCUGCUGAACUGUGGAGAUUUGCUUGGAAGGAGAGGGUAAAAUACGUGAUCUCUUAGUGGGACAACUUAGAAGACCUGCUGUGAAGAAAGUCUCAAUGAAAAAUGCAAUGGUAUUUUGCUCCCUCUUCAGCUCCUCUCUGGGAAACAGCUGAAUAAUCCCUCAUUCAAGUAACCAGCUAAAAAAGAAUAAAUGGCCAUGUGAUGUUUCUGCCUCUCUAAUC
rnacentral:lncRNA from 1 species